rnacentral:rRNA from 1 species
CGCUGGCGGCAGGCCUAACACAUGCAAGUCGAGCGCGCCUUCGGGUGAGUCGGCGGACGGGUUAGUAACGCGUGGGAACGUGCCCUUCUCUACGGAAUAGCCUCUGGAAACGGAGAGUAAUACCGUAUACGCCCUUUGGGGGAAAGAUUUAUCGGAGAAGGAUCGGCCCGCGUUAGAUUAGGUAGUUGGUGGGGUAACGGCCUACCAAGCCUACGAUCUAUAGCUGGUUUUAGAGGAUGAUCAGCAACACUGGGACUGAGACACGGCCCAGACUCCUACGGGAGGCAGCAGUGGGGAAUCUUAGACAAUGGGGGCAACCCUGAUCUAGCCAUGCCGCGUGAGUGAUGAAAGCCUUACGGUCGUAAAGCUCUUUCGCCUGUGAUGAUAAUGACAGUGCAGGUCAAGAAACCCCGGCUAACUCCGUGCCAGCAGCCGCGUAUACGAGGGGUUAGCCGUUGAAUCCC